CCUACGGGUGGCAGCAGUGAGGAAUAUUGGUCAAUGGGCGGAAGCCUGAACCAUCCCCGUAGCUUGCGUUCUUCCUUCCCUCCUUUUUUUCCCCCUCUUUUUUCCUGGGAUAAAACCCUCCACUUGUGGAGGUCUGCAGGUACCGUGCGAAUAAGGGCCGGCUAAUUCCGUGCCAGCAGCCGCGGUAAUACGGAAGGCCCGAGCGUUAUCCGGAUUCAUUGGGUUUAAAGGGAGCGUAGGCGGGCGUUCAAGUCAGCUGUAAAAUCUCGCGGUUCAACCGCACCCCGCAGUUGAUACUGGGCGCCUUGAGUGCACAAGAGGCAGGCGGAAUUCGUGGUGUAGCGGUGAAAUGCAUAGAUAUCACGAAGAACCCCGAUUGCGAAGGCAGCCUGCCGGGGUGCGACUGACGCUGAGGCUCGAAGGUGCGGGUAUCAAACAGGAUUAGAUAACAUAGUAGUC
rnacentral:rRNA from 1 species